rnacentral:rRNA from 1 species
AUGGGCGACGGUAAGUCUGCUGUGGUGGACAGUGUGGAAGGAAAAUUGAGAAAUCUAAACCUCUCAGAUGCAGAAAAGAGAAGCAUCAAAAUUGGGAAGAAACAGGCUUGUUCCCCUGAGGUGAGUAAGUUUCAAGCAGUGGGUAAACUCCUGUCUGGAAAACCGGCAAAAGCAGAGUUUUUGGGUAGAGCUUUGAGUGGUGUUUGGUGCCCCUUUUUGAGAGUAGAAUGCAAGGGCUUGGGUAAGAAUAGAUUCUUGUUCCGGUUCCAAGAUGAUGUGAGCAAGAACAAAGAACUAAGGGGCGGACCGUGGAUGUUUAACAAAGACCUACUGGUGAUGGAAGAUUUUGUGCCAAGCAAAACUAUAGAUGAUUAUGAUUUUAAGUCGAUUCCCAUAUGGGUGAGAGCUUACGGCGUACCAAUGGGAAUGAUGAGCUUAGAAACAGGGGAAUUG